rnacentral:lncRNA from 1 species
UGGUGAUAUUCACAGUGCACAGUGAUAGCAGCAGGAGCAGCCAAGCCAAGUGUUUCCCUCAGGAGAAAAUGCUGUUCUUUCCUCUUACCCUGUGAGCCUGAGGUGUGCAGUGCACCAAGACCAGCCCACUCCUCCACCUAGCCUGAGGAAAGCAGUUCAUUGUUGAUGUUUGUUCUGGGGAAGGAAGGUCAGGCAAAAGCUCUGGCUGGGCUGGUAAAGUUUGGACCAUUCUGAGAAUGUGUGCUGGGCACAACUUCAGGGGACUGGUGAAAAUUCAUCUUCUAUAUGUAAACACGCCUUGGCAGGGGCUGACAGCACAACUCAGGCUCAGGAUUUUGGUAUGGCUCUUUCUGAGACUUGAACCAGCUGCUUCUGAGGAAAAACCAAGACAUCCUGUGGUGUCCAGAUACAUCAGACCAGUGUCCCAAGUCCCUCAGAAGUCCAUUGUAAACUGAUCUCCAGCCACUGGACAUUUGUCAUCCGGCUUUUGCCAGUAUCCAAAAUUUUAAGGCGUAAAAUCCUUCUCUGUGGUAAAAAAGGAGGCAUUGUCUGUCAAGUCUGAGCAUGUUGUCAACAGCAAUGAGGAUGUUCUCCAUCUGAGUUGCCUAAUAUGAGCCCAAAGCAACAAAUCAAGGGGGAAUUUUGAGCUAAGUUAAUAGAUAAUACAAUGUGAACAUUCAAGUAAGCACUCUUGCAGAAUUGUGGCAAGUCAAGAAUGUGGCUGCAAUUAAAGGAUUUUCAAGAAAUUUUUCAGAAAGCUUAAAAUAUUGAUUUAUUUUAAAUUUAAAAGGAAAACUACUGUCCCUCCUGGUAAGCAAGUAUAAAUUCAUUAUUUAAAAUACUAAAAUGUGAAUAUUACUAGUUAGGAGCUAAUCCAGAAGUGUGUAUAGCAUUGAGAACUGAUUUUAGUAAAGCUUUAAAUAGAAUUUAGCAUAUAACAAUUGGAGCUUUUUCACAUACUCUCUUAUUUCUUUCUGUAUAGCUGUGGAUGGGUUUAGCUCUCUCUGAGCAAAGGGAUCUAUGGCCAAAUUCUAUGGAAUUUGUCAGCAGGGUGAAUCAUUAGCUUUUCUGGCAAGAAUUUUUUAUCUUAGGUUAGAAAGCUGAUCUCGGUUAAAUGAGCUGAAACAUAUGCAAAGAUAGAUACGUGUGAUUUUGAGAAGGAGACAAUUUGAUGUGGAAAUUCCCAUAACUUUACAAAAUGUGAAAUCAAGACAACCAUUUCAGAUAACACUGUUAUAGUCUUCUCUUCCUGCUGAAAAAUAGCAAAUGUCUUAAGUGUUCACCAUUCUGCAGAGCAGUGAAUAUAGCUGGUUCAGUAUUCAGAUUGAAAAGUCAAGUAUUUUCCUAUAAAUGCAUUUCUUUUC